rnacentral:rRNA from 1 species
UUUUGAGGCCAUACAAUCUUGAGAAUGCCUGAUCUCGCCUGAUCUCAGAAGCUAAGCAGGGUUGGGCUUGGAUAGUCCUUGGAUGAAAGACCAUUGGGGAUACCAGAUGUCAUUGCAG